rnacentral:lncRNA from 1 species
UGAAAUAUUAUAAUACAUAUAAUAUAUAUAUGCAAAGCCAUCCAGGAUAUCCCAUUUAUAAAUCUAUAAUUAGCGUUUCGUAAUUGCUGAAGCCAUAAUCGGUCGAACUCCUCCUCCAGUUUGUGGUGUGCGUCUUGACGUUAAGUGUCUUGAUUAAAUUCAGGAACCUGCAAUCUAUUCCAAGCCGCCACCGAACUACUGAUGAGGAGCUUUUAAUUUUCAUGCCAUAAAUGCACUCGGAGAGAGAGUCCUCCAUUUAUGCACACCAUUGCUUCUUCAUGCAAAUAUAUCACAAAAACAACAAUGUGCAUAGUGAUGGGAAAAAUCAGUAGUUGAUCCAAUAUAAAAGAACACACACCACCUAACACACAAAUGCAAGCUUGCAAGUGCUUCUUAAAAUAAAAAUUAUUUCUUCUUUGGCGUUUACUGGAAGCUAAGUCGGAUUUGGCAGAAAACUUGUCUGCUUGUUACCUCCUACUCAUGCGAGUAAACAAAAUAUUUACAAACUUUAGGUAUAUUUGUUUAUAUGUGUAUAUGUAUAAGUAUUAAAAUCAUAAGUAUUUUUAACGAUGAUGUGGUAUGUGCCACUUUAACUACACACUCCCAAAAUUUAUAGCCCAUGUACAUACGUUUGUAUAUGUGUUGGUAUGAAUUUAAGAUUAAAUAGUUUCGAAUAAACGUUAAAACAGAUUUUUCAUCGAUGUUAAUCGAAAUAGUUUAAUUGUAUUAAUGAGAGGUUGAGCUUACACAUUCUGUGUCAUGAUGAUAUAAUAUAUUGCAUAGGUGAAGUAAGUACGCAAUUGUCCCUUUUCCACACGCUGCCUUAGUAAAAGAUAUUGCUUUUAUAAAUUUUUGUCCCCAAAUUUUAGAAAGAAUCUUAGAAAAAUAGGAGAGCUUAAAGUUUUUGAUCAAUGAACAGAACUGGCAUUACAGGAGGGAUUUCAACGUCAUUCCGUUAUAAAUAAGAUUUUGAUCGUCUUUUUGUUUGGAAAAUUAUAGUAAAGCCAAUAUCGCGGUAGUAAUUGAAAAUAAAAUAGAUUUUGUUAAAUUGUUAAACACAAACCUGGAAUAACUGUAUUUAUUAGCAUUUCAUUAUUGGCCAGUGUUCCGUCUUUAAGGGGAGCGAAAACUUGUUAUGACCUAGCUUCAUACAAUAACUUUAGAAUUAUCAUUAUUUUUCUAAAUAUUGAGUAUAUAUAAUAUUAUGUGAACGCCCUUAUUGAGAUGCGUUACGAAAUAUGAAACUUCCAUCUGCAAAUUCAAAACUACAAUGAUUGGACACUGUUUUGCGUUCUAGGUAUCUGCGUUGAAUACAAUGCUGUGAUGUUCAGAUGAACACUUAUGAAAAUGCUUUGGUCACAAUUUUUUCCAGCAGCAUAAUUUUUUUUUAAACCAGCGUGAUGGACUUUGUGUGAAAAUCCAUUUAUAAUUAACAGCUAGAAGCUUUUAUAUAUAUGAAUAUGUAUAAUCAUUCGGUCACCCGAGUAGUUAACACGGCCUACUACCAAUCGAAUGGCCGGAGCUCGAGUGUUGGUUUAACUAACAUUUCAAACAUAAGAAAUACUUUUAAAAGAAUUUUAACAGCUAACAGUUGAAACUAUUAAAAAUUUUAUAUAAAAUAAAUAACCAUAUAUACACACAAGAGCAAAUAUUGUAGCUAGAAAGCUAAUCUAAUUUGGUAUAUUUCCAUAAGUUUCAAUAUUUGUCUAAUUUCCUAUAAAAAAUCCCGAUUUUUCUUUCCUUGUCCCCUUUCUUUUAAAAUUCGAAAAUACAACGUUGAGUUAAGGCAGUGUCAAGGUCUCUUUUUCCUCUAUUUACUUCACGUGUAUAUUUUUUUCAUCAAGAUUCUGUGUAAGAAGUAUUUGAAUAGGAAAGCUUUGAAGCAAAAAAAUAUUCCAAAUUUUCAAAUGUCACGUUUUUAUAGAUGCGCGCGGAUCGGUUCAGCACCACGUUUACUCUAGUGGAUAAUAGGCAUCCUUACAGACGAUGAACAGUGCGCACGAAAGACGCUAUUGCCGCUGUGGAGCAGAGCAUCAAAGAAGAUCCGUAUGAACACAUUCGCGACCGUGUGUAAUAGUGGAGCUGUGGCAGUGUCCUUAUCGACCGCAAUAGCCGAGUAGUUUUUUUAGUUAAUUUUCCCUUCGAAAGGGAAUUCCAAUUCCUCCGAGUGUAAUUCUAAUAUAAAAUACAAAGAUCUUCUUAAGAAUACAUCAACUGUUCGGAAGUGACUUAGAAUUAAUUGAAGAUCCCUCCAUUCGUAAGAUAAACUUCAAGACGCUUAAUGUUGUUUUGCUGUUUUCGUAAUUUUUUCUGGUCUAUGGGGAGGUGCUUAACUGCGAAAUGAUUAAUGGAGGACAAACGUCAAGGCCUUGAAGUUUUGUAUAUUUUAGACAACGCACAUCGACCAGGAGAACUUAUAUUCUAAGAAUUGGUUGCACUUUUGGGGGUAACCUUUUGCCACGGAGAUAAUGUAACGAACUGUUCGACACUCGAUUAGAAGUACAUAUGUAUAUGUAAGUAUAUACAUUAUCAAAAUUAACAUCAGCAACAAAUAUCACGAUCAGCGAUAAUAUAAAACUCUCAAAUUUAAUAUGUGGACCUGUUUUAUUUCUACGUCGACAUAAUAGCUCUCCGUUUAAUUGCUUUCGUCACCAAUAAGGCAUUACCGCUAAACCUUAUAACCAAUAUAGAAUAUAUGGAUGUAUAUAUGCACACACAUUUAUUGACAAACACUAUAACAACCCGAAACCAACCUUUCAAAUCUUUCUUUAUGUUCUUUUUUUUUUAACAUAAACUUUUUAUUUAUUUUUUAUCGGUUUUCUAGUUUUUUUUUUUAAUUGCGUGGUACAUACAUAUGUACUUAUGUAGGAGGUUAUAAACGGCACAACCAUAAGAUUAUUUCGACCGAACGCAAU